AUAUACAUGCUUUCAUACAUAUGUGAGUAUGCCUGAAGGAGUGAAUACAUUUUUAUUACUAUUUCAGGCAUACUCACAUAUGUAUGAAAGCAUGUAUAU